GAUGAACGCUGGCGGCGUGCCUAAUACAUGCAAGUCGAGCGAACGGACGAGAAGCUUGCUUUUCUGAUGUUAGCGGCGGACGGGUGAGUAACACGUGGAUAACCUACCUAUAAGACUGGGAUAACUUCGGGAAACCGGAGCUAAUACCGGAUAAUAUUUUGAACCGCAUGGUUCAAAAGUGAAAGACGGUCUUGCUGUCACUUAUAGAUGGAUCCGCGCUGCAUUAGCUAGUUGGUAAGGUAACGGCUUACCAAGGCAACGAUGCAUAGCCGACCUGAGAGGGUGAUCGGCCACACUGGAACUGAGACACGGUCCAGACGCUACGGGAGGCAGCAGUAGGGAAUCUUCCGCAAUGGGCGAAAGCCUGACGGAGCAACGCCGCGUGAGUGAUGAAGGUCUUCGGAUCGUAAAACUCUGUUAUUAGGGAAGAACAUAUGUGUAAGUAACUGUGCACAUCUUGACGGUACCUAAUCAGAAAGCCACGGCUAACUACGUG
rnacentral:rRNA from 1 species